rnacentral:rRNA from 1 species
UACGAGAGGCCCAAACGUUAUUCGGAAUUACUGGGCUUAAAGAGUUCGUAGGCGGCGCAGCAAGUAGGGUGUGAAAGCCCUCGGCUUAACCGAGGAAUUGCGCUCUAAACUACUGUGCUUGAGGAACCUAGAGGUGAGCAGAACUGAUGGUGGAGCGGUGAAAUGCGUUGAUAUCAUCAGGAAUACCGGAGGCGAAGGCGGCUCACUGGGGGUUUUCUGACGCUGAGGAACGAAAGCCAGGGGAGCGAACGGG